CAGGAUCCUGAGCAAGUGGAGGCUGGACAUGUAGGGAACCCUCUGGGCCGUGCGCGAGAGGAACACCUUCAACACCCUGCACGGAGGCAAGGGGGGGAAAGAAACAUCGAGUUUCUGGUGGGUGUGACGGUGCCGUAGACGAUGGAGAAGCCGAGCAUCCGGACCCAGCGGAGCAGGAUGCACCUGAAGGUGCUCGGCUUGAAGUACAGGAUGAAAACCUGCAGCGCGGAGAGAGAGGCACUGGACUCUUGUCGUUGCGUCUCAGCCCGUCACACUCGACGGCAGGUCGCACCUUCCUGCAGAGUCAGUGAGCGACUGGGAUCCAGGACCUGAAGCUCAUUCUGCUGAGGUGGUCGGUGGCCGUCAGUCCAAGAUAAGAGCAUCAGCUGAAGCCCAAAAACGUCAAUGCACACAAACACAUCAUUGUGUUCAAACCACUCGUGGAGGAUGAACUCCUCCGAGUGGAGCAUGUAUAGAA